rnacentral:lncRNA from 1 species
ACAGUUCUCUUUAAACAUGUUUUAUCUCUCCCACGUUGUCUCAUUUCUAGGCAUUGCUGUCUCAUCCCCCACCUGGAAUGUGCUCUCAACCUUGUCCCUGCUUUCCCUUGUUCAGCUCCAUUGUGCAGAAGGGGCCACAGCCAGAUUUGGGCCGCUAGGGGGCAAAAUUUAACCAAUUUCUUCCUAGUGGUGACGUGCAAUAAUGCAUAUUUUUUGCGCUGUCUUAAUUUUCCUCCCUUCCCUCUCCAAUGCCUGAAAGUAAAUGGCCCUGAAAUGGGGGAAAAAAGUGCAAUCAGAGGGUGCAGGAAAUGUCAAAGCACGUCAUGGCCCCAUAUGCAGGUGAGAGAUUAGAGGGCUCCUCCCUUCUUGGCCGAUAAAAACUGGCAGAGGCAGAGAUAGGACUGAGCUUUGGCUGAGCCUGUGCCAGAGAGGGGAGAAAAAAAUCCCAAGUGGAAACAAAUUCAGUGGAGAAGCAGCCAGUGGAGGAAAAGCAACCCGAAAACAGCACCAGUGACACCAAGGAAAACACCAAAAAGAUUUCAUGGUGUUUUGCAGUGGAGGGUCAUGGUGAUAUUUGCUCAUAACAAUCCAUCUGGGGAAAUCUGGCCAGGAGGGGAAGACACUGCAGGCACAAUGGCUUUCUUCCUCAAACCACGGCCAUGCACGUGGGACCUUGCCCUGGACUACCACACUGCCAAACAGUUUGAAGGUAAUCAAAGCAGGAGCAAAGUACUAAUACCUGGUGUUUUCUGGGCUGCAUCAAAUGAGAUGUCUAAUGAGUUGGAGAUUCUCCAGCUCUACCUUCUGUAUCCCUGGGUCCUCCAUCUCCAGCCUCCAUGUCUUAACUCAUCCAUCUCCAAGCUGGCCCAGAGAUCCUCCAUCUCCAGCAUCCAUAUUUUAUCUCUUCCUUCUACAGUCUCAACUGGAGAGUCUCCUUUUCUUGACUUCUCUGUCUCCGACCUGAGCUGGAUAUCCUCCAUUUCCAACCUCCACCUCUUCACUCUUCCAUCUCCAACCUCACCCCUCCUCUCCCUUUCUCCUUGAAAAGUCAGCAGUGACUUUUGAAUCAGGUUUUUG